rnacentral:rRNA from 1 species
UCACGCUGUAAACGAUGUCGAUUUGGAGUUUGGGGGCAUGACCCUUGGGCUCCGGAGCUAACGCGUUAAAUCGACCGCUGGGGAGUACGGCCGCAAGGUUAAAACUCAAAUGAAUUGACGGGGGCCCGCACAAGCGGUGGAGCAUGUGGUUUAAUUCGAUGCAACGCGAAGAACCUUACCUGGUCUUGACAUCUAUAGAAUCUUUCAGAGAUGAGAGAGUGCCUUCGGGAGCUAUGAGACAGGUGCUGCAUGGCUGUCGUCAGCUCGUGUUGUGAAAUGUUGGGUUAAGUCCCGCAACGAGCGCAACCCCUAUCCUUUGUUGCCAGCACGUAAUGGUGGGAACUCAAAGGAGACUGCCGUUGAUAAAGCGGAGGAAGGUGGGGACGACGUCAAGUCAUCAUGGCCCUUACGACCAGGGCUACACACGUGCUACAAUGGCGUAUACAAAGGGAUGCGAAGGUGCGAACUGGAGCGGACCUCACAAAGUACGUCUAAGUCCGGAUUGGAGUCUGCAACUCGACUCCAUGAAGUCGGAAUCGCUAGUAAUCGUGAAUCAGAAUGUCACGGUGAAUACGUUCCCGGGCCUUGUACACACCGCCCGUCACACCAUGGGAGUGGGUUGCACCAGAAGUAGAUAGCUUAACCUUCGGGAGGGCGUUUACCACGGUGUGGUUCAUGACUGGGGUGAAGUCGUAACAAGGUAACCA